AGCCGACCCCGCCCCUCCAUGGAUUUCCCGACCCUCGCCUCGAAUUCAUUUCCUGCUCCACCUGCACCCCCUAAUCCCUACCCCUGCUACAACCCCAGAGGCUGGACUCCUGGAUUCAUCUCCCCAGCCUCCCUGGGCCUGCCUUAGCCGCCAGUCGCAGCCGAGGCGAAGACAGCGAAGGAGGGAAGUGGGGGCGGCUAGCUGGGGCUAGGAGGCCAGGAGAGGGCGGGGUGGGCGGCCGUUUGGGGUGGGGGUCAGGGUGACGCACUCGUCUGUAUUCAGGGCAGGUGCUGGCUCUGGUGCUGGUGGCCGCUCUGUGGGGUGGCACGCAACCGCUGCUGAAGCGGGCCUCCGCCGGCCUGCAACGGGUUCAUGAGCCGACCUGGGCCCGGCAGUUGCUACAGGAGAUGAAGACCCUCUUCUUGAAUACUGAGUACCUGAUGCCCUUUCUCCUCAACCAGUGUGGCUCCCUUCUCUAUUACCUCACCUUGGCAUCGACAGGCUGGUCCCAGACCUCAGAGUUCAGGUCUUCAUGCUGGAAUCCUGGGAAGCACUGAACGUGGAGUCAGGAGAUGUGGGUUUGAGUCCUGAGAUUUGCUGUGACUUCAGCUGGAAGAUGGGGUUAUGAUACCUUUUUUAAAGAUCUGACCCUAGCUGUGCCCAUCUGUAACUCUCUGGCCAUCAUCUUCACAUUGAUUGUUGGCAAGGCCCUUGGAGAAGAUAUUGGUGGAAAACGAGCAGUUGCUGGCAUGGUGCUCACUGUGAUAGGAAUUUCACUCUGCGUCACAAGCUCAGUGAGUAAGACCCAGGGGCAGCCGUCUACCCUUUGAGUGGGCUGAACCCACCUCCAGCUCUGCUGCCUCCAGGAAGCACCUGGGCCAUGAAGUGCUGGCAGUGAGUGGAUGGACCUAGCACUUCUCCUCUCUGGCUUCAGCUUCCUCCUCUCUUAAGGGGAUAACAGCUACCUCAUGGAUCACAAUAAGAGAACAAGAGUGAAAGGGUUUUGUAACCUUCAAGUGCUGUUCAGCUGCUGGGAUUUAGCACAGGAGACUCUACGCUCACCUUCAGCAACCUUUCUGCCCCAGCAGCUCUCUUCCUGCUGACAUCUCAGGCCCCCAGCCCAGCCACCAUUACUGUGGCCUGAUCUGGACUAUCAUGGUGGCAAGUUCCAUGGACUGCAGAACCCCAGCUGCAUGGAAAGGGCCAGCUGCAGACUUUGAGCCAAAAAUGCAAACGGGAGGCCUCCAGGGCUCAGUCAGAGCACCUUGGCUGAAUGAGGAGUGGAACCGAGGGGAAGAAGGUACAUCGGAGUGGCAGAUGCAGAUGAGCUGUCUAUUAGCCUUGCCUGCCUCACCCAUGAGGUGGGCAGAAAUCCUCACUGCCAGCCCCUCUUAAACAGGUAGACAGCUGUGAGCCCCAGCCUCACCUGACUCCAGCACCCAGCAUACCUGGCGAGUAGUAGCUGUCAAUAAAUCUGGUAAACAGACAGAGGUUAGUAAGUAUUCUUUUAUUGUGACAAACCCGCUCCCCCGUUUGUAGCCUGUCCCCCAGGCUCAGUCAGCUACUCCUUUCUGUGGCUAGAGAAUCCCAUAAGGAAAUAGCCCCCAAGCCAGGGCUGCUCUGCUCAGAGGAAGGGAAGGCUGGGCUGUGGGUUUAGGAGCAGGAGAACUGGGAGGACUGAGGAGGCCGCAGUGUACCCUGUGAGCCCAGGGGAGGUGCUGGCUCCUGAGGAACAAGCUGCUGGAGGCUGAGGACAAAAGGUGGCCAGAGUGGUGGUCCCCAGUUCCCCUCUGGAGCUGCUGGCUCUCAAGAUGGCAGAGCUGGGGCUGAGGCUGAGAUAGCAGCCCCAGCCCCAGGCUGGUUUUCCAGGGACAGGGCCUCUUCCGCUAUCUGUGCUGCCCUCUGGAGGAGGUGGAAGGCCACACAGAAUGGAACCGUGAGUAUAGCCAGCCUCUAGCUCUCAGCCAUGAGGUCCCCGACCCCAAGGAAGGAAGAAACUGGAAAUUAGGAACUGCUUCCUCAUGUAACAAGGUAGGAAGUUAGGAGAUCAUUUACCUUCAGUCACAAGGGAGAACUGUUCCUGGGGCCCAGGGGUGCCAAUUUCCAGCUCAGAGCUCCUCCCAUCCCAACAUACUGUUCCCUGAUCCAACGGCUUACCUGAUCCAAGGGCUCCUCUGUCUGGGUGUCUUCAUCAUCUGCUACUUCCUGGGCUCCCUCGCUGUCUCCUUCCUUGGGUGGGGAGCUCCAUAUACUCCUGUAACUCCUAAAGAGGGAGGCAGCACUGGGUGAUGCCCAGGCUGAAGAGCCCUCAGCAUUCCUGCCCUGGACCUUCAUGCCAGCCCCUUUCCCUCCCCUGAACCUGGUUCUGCGUUCCCCACCACCUCCCAGGAUGGCAGGGAAGUGAGAGGUGGGCCUUUGGUCCCACCCCCAUCCCCUCUAGAUCCCACCCCUGAAGUCUCAUCGCUUUAAGCACUGUCCUUUCCAGGCGCUUCUUUUCGUGUGAUGAGGCCCUGUGAAGAAGGAACAGGAUAUACAGAUGGGGGGAGCUGGAGACAGUUAUGAUGAGUGCCAGCUUUGUGUGUGGGCAUUCUGCUCCCAUGGACAUCCCUAACAACAGCAGGGACCAAUCCAUGUCACUGUGAAAAGGCAGCUGAGAAGGGCCUGAGCCCCAGGGACCCCUCACCUGAUGGGAAUGAGAGUAUGGGGAGCUUGCUUCUUGGCUGAAUGGUCUGCUGGGGUCUGGCAUAGAAAGUGGAUGGCUUAAUUCCGUCUGGUUCCUUUGGAGAGGACUGGGUUACCUGGGCCCUGUGGCCUUGGGCCUAGAGAAGGGACACUGGGCUUGGACCCUGGUUGCUGGCCAUUCUUACCUUUCCUACUCCCCAGCCUGAACAACAUGGGGAAACCCUGCCUCUACUAAAAAUUUAAAAAAUUA